ACUGAAUUAAAUUGAGCCAACCCCUUAACCAUGGUCAGUAACAGAAACAUGUUCCCCUUUACUGUCCCAGCCUUCUGAAAACCCUGCAGAUGAGGUUCUGUACAGCUCAGUCGUCCGGAAAAAUCUACAGACCACACACUCGUCUCACCGUUCUGCAGCAGAUAGAGCCGGUGAUGUGAUUUACAGCUCAGUUGCCGGGCAGAACACACAGGUAUUUUGCCCACAAGCCCGAAGGAAGAGGCCUGGAUGUUCAGCAACGUGUGGAACCUGAGGAUUCCUAUUUCAGAGCAUCAAAUACAGCCAGUCACCCCAUUACAAAUAUUUGACUCUUUUUUCUCUACUGGACAAAAAAAGACACCACAUUUUCCUAACUUGAAAAGGAACUAUCGCCCUCUGCUGGACAGAUUAGAACACAUUUAAAAACGCAAAUAAAAAUAGACUAUGGCUACAUACUUUGAAUUCAUGCACUUUAAAAAAAGAUUAGUCAAGUUAAAAAAAAUGCUUUGCAUGUGUGUCAUUAAUCAGUUUAUUUUCUUUUUUUCUUGAACAUUUUCAUGAACGCUUGCACUUCAUACGCCUUUAUUUCUCACCUUUUUUGUUUAACAGAUAAAAAAUGUUUAUUUAAGUUUGUGCAUUUUGCAAUUGGACAAGGGAGGACAUUGCAUUAAAUUAUAGCUCUGAGUUUUACUUAAAAAGAGAAGUAGAUAUGAUCUUGUUCUGUAAGUGUGAAUGCUUUCACAGAAAUGGCUUCAACCCCACAUUAAAAUGUACCCCCAGUACAAUGUCCUGAGGGGAUUAACCACAGGAAAUAAUGCUGUUUGUAGCUCUGCUAAAAUAAAAACUGAAAGAGACAA